rnacentral:rRNA from 1 species
GGAAACCCUGAUGCAGCCAUGCCGCGUGUGUGAAGAAGGCCUUCGGGUUGUAAAGCACUUUCAGUAGGGAGGAAGGUAGUGUAGUUAACACCUGCACUAUUUGACGUUACCUACAGAAGAAGCACCGGCUAACUCCGUGCCAGCAGCCGCGGUAAUACGGAGGGUGCGAGCGUUAAUCGGAAUUACUGGGCGUAAAGCGCAUGCAGGCGGCCUGUUAAGUCAGAUGUGAAAGCCCGGGGCUUAACCUCGGAAUUGCAUUUGAAACUGGCAGGCUAGAGUCUUGUAGAGGGGGUAGAAUUUCAGGUGUAGCGGUGAAAAUGCGUAGAGAUCUGAAGGAAUACCAGUGGCGAAGGCGGCCCCCUGGACAAAGACUGACGCUCAGAUGCGAAAAGCGUGGGGAGCAAACAGGAUUAGAUACCCUGGUAG